AACGAACGCUGGCGGCAUGCCUAACACAUGCAAGUCGAACGAAGGCUUCGGCCUUAGUGGCGCACGGGUGCGUAACGCGUGGGAAUCUGCCCCUCGGUUCGGAAUAACAGUUAGAAAUGACUGCUAAUACCGGAUGAUGACUUCGGUCCAAAGAUUUAUCGCCGAGGGAUGAGCCCGCGUAAGAUUAGGUAGUUGGUGGGGUAAAGGCCUACCAAGCCGACGAUCUUUAGCUGGUCUGAGAGGAUGAUCAGCCACACUGGGACUGAGACACGGCCAGGACUCCUACGGGAGGCAGCAGUGGGGAAUAUCGCACAAUGGGCGGAAGCCUGAUCCAGCAAUGCCGCGUGAGUGAUGAAGGCCUUAGGGUUGUAAAGCUCUUUUACCAGAGAUGAUAAUGACUGUACCUGCAGAGGAAGCAUCGGCUAACUACGUGCCAGCCGCCGCCGUAA
rnacentral:rRNA from 1 species